UACUACUACUACUGGGGAUACUACUACUGGGAUUACUACCACUACUACUACUGGGGAUACUACUACUGGGAUUACUACUACUACUGGGGUUACUACUACUGGGGAUACUACUACUGGGGAUACUACUACUGGGGAUACUACUACUGGGGUUACUACUACUACUACUGGGGUUACUACUACUACUACUGGGGUUACUACUACUACUACUGGGGUUACUACUACUGGGGUUACUACUACUACUGGGGAUACUACUACUACUGGGGAUACUACUACUGGGGUUACUACUACUACUGGGGUUACUACUACUACUGGGGUUACUACUAUUACUACUGGGGAUACUACUAUUACUACUGGGGAUACUACUACUACUGGGGUUACUACCACUGGGGAUACUACUACUGGGGUUACUAAUACUGGGGUUACUACUACUGGGGUUACUACUACUACUACUGGGGAUACUACUACUACUGGGGAUACUACUACUACUACUGGGGAUACUACUACUACUGGGGAUACUACUACUGUGGAUACUACUACUGGGGAUACUACUACUGGUAUUACUACUACUACUGGGGUUACUACUACUGGGGAUACUACUACUGGGGUUACUACUACUGGGGUUACUACUACUGGGGUUACUACUACUGGGGUUACUACUACUACUACUACUGGGGAUACUACUACUACUGGGAUUACUACUGGGGAUUACUACUACUGGGGAUUACUACUACUGGGGAUACUACUACUGGAGUUACUACUACUGGGGAUAAUACUACUGGGUUUACUACUACUAUUACUACUGGGGUUACUACUACUACUAUUGGGGUUACUACUACUACUGGGUUUACUACUACUACUACUACUGGGUUUGCUACUACUACUACUACUGGGGUUACUACUACUACUACUAGUGGGGAUAUUACUACUACUGGGGUUACUACUUCCACUACUGGGGAUACUACUACUACUGGGGAUACUACUACUGUGGAUACUACUACUGGGGAUACUACUACUGGGGUUACGGCUACUGGGGUUACUGCUAGUGGGGAUACUACUACUGGGGAUACUACUACUUGGGAUACUACUACUUCUACUGGGGUUAAUACUACUAUUGGGGAUACUACUACUGGGGUUACUACUACUACUGGGGUUACUACUACUGGGGUUACUACUACUGGGGUUACUACUACUGGGGAUACUACUACUGGGGUUACUACUACUGGGGUUACUACUACUGGGGUUACUACUACUACUACUGGGGUUAUUACUACUGGGGCUACUACUACUACUACUGGGGUUCUACUACUGGGGAUACUACUACUGGGGAUACUACUACUGGGGAUACUACUACUGGGGAUACUACUACUGGCGAUACUACUACUGGGGUUACUACUACUACUGGGGUUACUACUACUACUGGGGAUACUACUACUGGGGAUACUACUACUGUGGAUACUACUACUGGGGAUACUGCUACUGGGGAUACUACUACUACUGGGGAUACUACUCCUACUGGGGAUACUACUACUACUGGGGAUACUACUACUACUGGGGAUACUACUACUACUGGGGAUACUACUACUACUGGGGUUACUACUACUACUGGGGUUAUUACUACUGGGAUACUACUACUACUACUACUACUACUGGGGUUACUACUACUGGGGUUACUACUACUGGGGACACUACUACUACUGGGGACACUACUACUACUGGGGUUACUACUACUGGGGACACUACUACUACUGGGGACACUACUACUACUGGGGUUGAUACCACUACUGGGGUUGAUACUACUACUGGGGUUGAUACUACUACUGGGGUUGGUGAUACUACUACUGGGGUUGAUGAUACUACUACUGGGGACACUACUACUACUGGGGUUACUACUGGGGUUACUACUACUACUGUUGAUACUACUACUACUGGGGAUACUACUACUACUGGGGUUACUACUACUACUACUGGGGUUACUACUACUACUACUACUGGGGUUACUACUAAUACUGGGGUUACUACUACUGGGGAUACUACUACUACUGGGGAUAAUACUACUGGGGUUACUUCUACUGGGGUUACUUCUACUAGUAUUGCCACUACUAGGAUUGUUACUACUGGUGUUACUACUACUGGGAUUACUACUACCGGGAUUACUACUACUGGAAUUAAUACUACUGGGUUUGCUACUACUGGGGUUACUACUACUACUGGGAUUACUAUUACUGGGAUUACUACUACUGGAAUUAAAACUACUGUGAUUGCUACUAAUGGGUUUACUAAUACUGGGAUUACUAAUACUGGAAUUAAUACUACUGGGAUUGCC
rnacentral:lncRNA from 1 species